AUUACUUUUCUUAUCCUUUCCUUUUCUGUAACCUUACAACGUUGAAAAUGAUUGCUCAUUUGGGUAUUCAGAUGUCCAGGAGGAACUUGGCUCAAAGAAGCGGGCUAGAGCUGAGUCUUGUGCUCCAUCGAGGUCCAAAGCAAGAAGGGAGAAGAUGAAUGACAAGUGCGACCACAUUCUUUAUUCCUCUCAAAGAAGAAAUGAUAAUCCUCUUUUUUUUUUUUUUUUUUUUGCAUAUCUACUUUGGCUUACUAAUUCUUUAAAGAUUGUACUCUACAAAUGCAGGACUUGCAAUUCUUUGGCGAUUGUCACUAAUUUUUUGGCUUACUACUGGAUUACUGCAUUUAAAAAAAUAAAUAAAUAAAUAAAAAGGGACUUGCAAUUGUUGAGAGCAAUGAGGGCUGGGGUGAGGAGCACAUGACACUAAAACUUGGUACAAGAACAUACUGAAAUAUCAUUAAUUUCAAUAUGAAUUAGAUGAAGAGAAGUUGAUUAUGUUUUCAAUAGCAUGCUUUCAUUUUUUACAUUAUGUAUUCAAGUGUAUAGGUGAAUAUUGUCAUGCUUCACAUUAUGUAUUCAAAAAUUUGUAAUGAAAUUAUCAAUUUUUGUGCAA